AUGUCAACCAAGGCGGAGUCCAGGGUGUCCAGCUCCAGCUCCAGGGCCGAUGAAAGGAGGAGAUCAAGUAGCAGAGGACGUGAAAAAAGAAAGCGGAAACGCAGCCGUAGUAGAUCUUCCUCGUCAUCCUCUUCCAGUUCGUCGUCGUCGUCGUCUUCGUCUUCGUCGUCCUCAUCCUCAUCGUCCUCUUCUUCAUCGGGUUCAUCACACUCUUCCAGCCGCAGUCGGAGUAGCUCUAGCAGUAGCGACUCGCGCAGUAAAUCCAGAAAGCAGUCUAAGAAAAGGAAAAAGGAGAAACAACACAAAAAAAAAGGGAAGAAAGAGAAGCGACACAAACGUAAAAAAGACAAGAAAGCAAAAGGAGGAGAAGAUAAUUCGGGACCUGUACAGAUCUCCAAGUACUUGAAAGACCGGAAAAAGGGCAAGUACAGCAUGAUUUCAGGGAAGAAGAUAAAGAUGAAAGUAAAGAAGUCAAAGAAAGACAAACAGCGAGAUAAAAAUCGAGCAGAACUUCUCGAGUUCUUGAACUCUACCCUGUGA
rnacentral:lncRNA from 15 species